GACGAACGCUGGCGGCGUGCCUAAUACAUGCAAGUUGAGCGAUGAAGUUUGGUGCUUGCACCAAUUUGAAGAGCAGCGAACGGGUGAGUAACGCGUGGGGAAUCUGCCUUUGAGCGGGGGACAACAUUUGGAAACGAAUGCUAAUACCGCAUAAUAACUUUAAACAUAAGUUUUAAGAUUGAAAGAUGCAAUUGCAUCACUCAAAGAUGAUCCCGCGUUGUAUUAGCUAGUUGGUGAGGUAAAGGCUCACCAAGGCGAUGAUACAUAGCCGACCUGAGAGGGGGGUCGGCCACAUUGGGACUGAGACACGGCCCAAACUCCUACGGGAGGCAGCAGUAGGGAAUCUUCGGCAAUGGACGAAAGUCUGACCGAGCAACGCCGCGUGAGUGAAGAAGGUUUUCGGAUCGUAAAACUCUGUUGGUAGAGAAGAACGUUGGUGAGAGUGGAAAGCUCAUCAAGUGACGGUAACUACCCAGAAAGGGACGGCUAACUACGUG
rnacentral:rRNA from 1 species